AUCUACAGCCAAAUCACCCUGAAAGCAACAGAUCUUGUCUGAUUUUGGAAGCUAAGCAGGGUCUGGCCUGGUUAGUACUUGGAUACAAGUGCCAUUAUUU
ensembl:rRNA 5S_rRNA 5S ribosomal RNA